rnacentral:rRNA from 1 species
GGUUAAGCGAAUAAGCGUACACGGUGGAUGCCUAGGCAAUCAGAGGCGAUGAAGGACGUGCUAAUCUGCGAUAAGCGUCGGUAAGGUGAUAUGAACCGUUAUACCCGACGAUUUCCGAAUGGGGAAACCCAAUAUCCAAUGGAUAUUAUCAUUAACUGAAUACAUAGGUUAAUGAAGCGAACCGGGAGAACUGAAACAUCUCAGUACCCCGAGGAAAAGAAAUCAACCGAGAUUCCCCUAGUAGCGGCGAGCGAACGGGGAACAGCCCAGAGUCUUAAUCAACAGCAGCAUCAGGAGAACGGUCUGGAAAGUCCGGCAGUAAAGGGUGAUAGCCCCGUAUCUGAAGAUGCUGUUAUUGUGAACUCGACGAGUAGGGCGGGACACGUGUUAUCCUGUCUGAAUAUGGGGGGACCAUCCUCCAAGGCUAAAUACUCCUGAUUGACCGAUAGUGAACCAGUACCGUGAGGGAAAGGCGAAAAGAACCCCGGCGAGGGGAGUGAAAAAGAACCUGAAACCGUGUACGUACAAGCAGUAGGAGCCUCUUCGUGAGGUGACUGCGUACCUUUUGUAUAAUGGGUCAGCGACUUAUAUUCUGUAGCAAGGUUAACCGUAUAGGGGAGCCGUAGGGAAACCGAGUCUUAACUGGGCGAAUGAGUUGCAGGGUAUAGACCCGAAACCCGGUGAUCUAUCCAUGGGCAGGUUGAAGGUUGGGUAACACUAACUGGAGGACCGAACCGACUAAUGUUGAAAAAUUAGCGGAUGACUUGUGGAUGGGGGUGAAAGGCCAAUCAAACCGGGAGAUAGCUGGUUCUCCCCGAAAGCUAUUUAGGUAGCGCCUCGUGAAUUCAUCUUCGGGGGUAGAGCACUGUUUCGACUAGGGGGUCAUCCCGACUUACCAACUCGAUGCAAACUGCGAAUACCGAAGAAUGUUAUCACGGGAGACACACGGCGGGUGCUAACGUCCGUCGUGAAGAGGGAAACAACCCAGACCGCCAGCUAAGGUCCCAAAGUCAUGGUUAAGUGGGAAACGAAGUGGGAAGGCUCAGACAGCCAGGAUGUUGGCUUAGAAGCAGCCAUCAUUUAAAGAAAGCGUAAUAGCUCACUGGUCGAGUCGGCCCGCGCGGAAGAUGUAACGGGGCUAAACCAUGCACCGAAGCUGCGGCAGCGACACUAUGUGUUGUUGGGUAGGGGAGCGUUCUGUAAGCCUGCGAAGGUGUACUGUGAGGUAUGCUGGAGGUAUCAGAAGUGCGAAUGCUGACAUAAGUAACGAUAAUGCGGGUGAAAAACCCGCACGCCGGAAGACCAAGGGUUCCUGUCCAACGUUAAUCGGGGCAGGGUGAGUCGACCCCUAAGGCGAGGCUGAAAAGCGUAGUCGAUGGGAAACGGGUUAAUAUUCCCGUACUGGUGGUAACUGCGAUGGGGGAACGGAGAAGGCUAGGUUGUCCGGGCGACGGUCGUCCCGGUUCAAGCAUGUAGGCAGAGUGAUUAGGCAAAUCCGGUCACUUAAUGCUGAGGUGUGAUGACGAGCCACUAAGGUGGUGAAGCAAUUGAUGCCCUGCUUCCAGGAAAAGCCUCUAAGCUUCAGGUUACCAACAAUCGUACCCCAAACCGACACAGGUGGUCAGGUAGAGAAUACUCAGGCGCUUGAGAGAACUCGGGUGAAGGAACUAGGCAAAAUGGUGCCGUAACUUCGGGAGAAGGCACGCUGGCGGUAAGUGAAGUCCCUUGCGGACGGAGCCGAAGCCAGUCGAAGAUACCAGCUGGCUGCAACUGUUUAUUAAAAACACAGCACUGUGCAAACACGAAAGUGGACGUAUACGGUGUGACGCCUGCCCGGUGCUGGAAGGUUAAUUGAUGGGGUUAUCCUUAGGGAGAAGCUCUUGAUCGAAGCCCCAGUAAACGGCGGCCGUAACUAUAACGGUCCUAAGGUAGCGAAAUUCCUUGUCGGGUAAGUUCCGACCUGCACGAAUGGCGUAAUGAUGGCCAGGCUGUCUCCACCCGAGACUCAGUGAAAUUGAACUCGCUGUGAAGAUGCAGUGUACCCGCGGCAAGACGGAAAGACCCCGUGAACCUUUACUAUAGCUUGACACUGAACAUUGAGCCUUGAUGUGUAGGAUAGGUGGGAGACUAUGAAGUGUGGACGCCAGUCUGCAUGGAGUCAACCUUGAAAUACCACCCUUUAACGUUUGAUGUUCUAACCUAGGCCCAUAAUCUGGGUCGGGGACCGUGUCUGGUGGGUAGUUUGACUGGGGCGGUCUCCUCCUAAAGAGUAACGGAGGAGCACGAAGGUUGGCUAAGCAUGGUCGGACAUCAUGCGGUUAGUGCAAAGGCAUAAGCCAGCUUGACUGUGAGAGUGACGGCUCGAGCAGGUACGAAAGUAGGUCUUAGUGAUCCGGUGGUUCUGAAUGGAAGGGCCAUCGCUCAACGGAUAAAAGGUACUCCGGGGAUAACAGGCUGAUACCGCCCAAGAGUUCAUAUCGACGGCGGUGUUUGGCACCUCGAUGUCGGCUCAUCACAUCCUGGGGCUGAAGUAGGUCCCAAGGGUAUGGCUGUUCGCCAUUUAAAGUGGUACGCGAGCUGGGUUUAGAACGUCGUGAGACAGUUCGGUCCCUAUCUGCCGUGGGCGUUGGAAGAUUGAGAGGGGUUGCUCCUAGUACGAGAGGACCGGAGUGAACGCACCACUGGUGUUCGGGUUGUCAUGCCAAUGGCAUUGCCCGGUAGCUAAGUGCGGAAGAGAUAACCGCUGAAAGCAUCUAAGCGGGAAACUUGCCUCGAGAUGAGUCUUCCCUGUCACCUAGAGUGACCUAAAGGAACGUUUAAGACUAAGACGUUGAUAGGCUGGGUGUGUAAGCGUAGCGAUACGUUGAGCUAACCAGUACUAAUGAACCGUGAGGCUUAACCUG